UAUGUACUCUCUCCGUCCGGAAAUACUUGUCAUCAAAAUGAAUAAAAUGGGAUGUAUCUAGAUGUAUUUUAGUUCUAGAUACAUUCCUUUUUAUCCAUUUUGAUGACAAGUAUUUUCGGACGGAGGGAGUAUGAA
rnacentral:pre_miRNA from 1 species